rnacentral:rRNA from 1 species
AUUGAACGCUGGCGGCAGGCCUAACACAUGCAAGUCGAGCGGAUGAAGGGAGCUUGCUCCUGGAUUCAGCGGCGGACGGGUGAGUAAUGCCUAGGAAUCUGCCUGGUAGUGGGGGAUAACGUCCGGAAACGGGCGCUAAUACCGCAUACGUCCCGAGGGAGAAAGUGGGGGAUCUUCGGACCUCACGCUAUCAGAUGAGCCUAGGUCGGAUUAGCUAGUUGGUGGGGCAAAGGCCUACCAAGGCGACGAUCCGUAACUGGUCUGAGAGGAUGAUCAGUCACACUGGAACUGAGACACGGUCCAGACUCCUACGGGAGGCAGCAGUGGGGAAUAUUGGACAAUGGGCGAAAGCCUGAUCCAGCCAUGCCGCGUGUGUGAAGAAGGUCUUCGGAUUGUAAAGCACUUUAAGUUGGGAGGAAGGGCAGUAAGUUAAUACCUUGCUGUUUUGACGUUACCAACAGAAUAAGCACCGGCUAACUUCGUG